CAAUAAGGCUGUUCAUAAAUUUUUUGAUUGAACCCUGGUUCACAGAAUUACCAGCAGAAGAAAAUCUCUUGACCAAAGGAACUACGUUAAGACAAACCUGACUUAAAGCCGUCCGUAAAACUUCGGGAGGUGUUUGGCCUAGCAUUCCUUUUUCUUCAAAUCCUCUUGUAUAUAACUUAUAACAUAUUCCUUUCUUAACACGACCCGCCCGACCCCGGCGUUGUUGACAAGCAGCUCUUGAGGCCCAAGUCUCUUUAAAAGUCACCAGAUCUCGUUCAACAUCAUAAUCAAUUUGCUUAACUCUGCCGCUGUCAAUAACGGCAACAACAUCAUCAAUAGUAAUUGAAGUCUCCGCAAUAUUUGUUGCACAUAUGAUCUUCCGCUUUGUGUAUGUUUUGAAACAUCUCCUUUGCUCCGAAGUAUUCAAAGAGGCAUGUAAUGGGAGGACCUCAAAUUUUGAGCCGUCUUUUGAUUUUAUUUCACGAAUACAACGAGCUAUGUUUGAGACACCGGGAAGGAAAACCAAUAUAGAACCACUAGAGGAACCAAGUUCAGCAUCAAUAGAACUAACAAGUCUAGAAAUAAGAUGAUAAUCAAUUUCAUAUUCUUUUUUCUUUCUUCUGGGAACGUCUUCCUCGUCAUCAUCUUCAUUUAGCUUAGGCGCAAAAUCCUCAAUGUAGUAAUCCUUGAUCGGAAAAGUACGGCCGUGAAUAUGUAAAUGACCAGCAUUUCCAAAAUAAUAUUUGAAUGUAUCGGAGUUCACCGUGGCACUCAUCAAAAUGACUUUCAAAUUUGGGAUACGAGAAAUUACUAGUUUCAAAAGUGUUAAGAGUAUAUCAUUUUCGAUGGAUCUUUCAUGUACUUCAUCUACAACAACACAAGAUAAAGUACUCAAAAAGCCUAGACCAUGUUGCUGAAUUCUUCUAAGAAGCAAACCUGUAGUGCAAAACUCAAGAAGGGUUUCUUUAGAUAUGGAUUUUUCACCAUGUACACUGUAACCAACUUCUUUUCCAACAGUUGUAUCACGUUCGAAGGCAACUCUUUCCGCCAAACUUAUCGCAGAUAUUCUC